GAUGAACGCUGGCGGCAUGCUUAGCACAUGCAAGUCGGACGGGAAGUGGUGUUUCCAGUGGCGGACGGGCGAGUAACGCGUAAGAACCUGCCCUUGGGAGGGGAACAACAGCUGGAAACGGCUGCUAAUACCCCGUAGGCUGAGGAGCAAAAGGAGGACUCCGCCGGGGGAGGGGCUCGCGUCUGAUUAGCUAGUUGGUGGGGCAGUGGCUUACUAAGGCUAUGAUGGGUAGCCGGUCUGAGCGGGUGAUCGGCCACACUGGGACUGAGAUACGGCCCAGAAUCCUACGGGAGGCAGCAGUGGGGAAUAUUGAACAAUGGGCGGAAGACUGAUGCAGCAACGCCGCGUGAGGGAUGAAGGACUUCGGGUUGUAAACCGCUUUCGCCUGUGAAGAAGCGUGAGUGACGGUAAUGGGUAAAGAAGCACCGGCUAACUACGUG
rnacentral:rRNA from 1 species